AUUGAACGCUGGCGGCAGGCCUAACACAUGCAAGUCGAGCGAGUGGCGGACGGGUGAGUAAUGUCUGGGCAACUGCCUGAUGGAGGGGGAUAACUACUGGGAACGGUAGCUAAUACAGAAUACCAUCGGAUGAGCCCAGAGGGGAUUAGCUUGUAGGUGGGGUAAAGGCUCACCUAGGCGACGAUCCCUAGCUGGUCUGAGAGGAUGACCAGCCACACUGGAACUGAGACACGGUCCAGACUCCUACGGGAGGCAGCAGUGGGGAAUAUUGCACAAUGGGCGCAAGCCUGAUGCAGCCAUGCCGCGUGUAUGAAGAAGGCCUUCGGGUUGUAAAGUACUUUCAGUGGGGAGGCGUUACCCGCAGAAGAAGCACCGGCUAACUCCGUGCCAGCAGCCGCGGUAAUUC
rnacentral:rRNA from 1 species